rnacentral:rRNA from 1 species
AGGACGAACGCUGGCGGCGUGCUUAACACAUGCAAGUGGAGCGACGAACCAGGGCUUGCCCUGGGGCAGAGCCGCGAACGGGUGAGUAACACGUGGGUUACCUGCCUUGAUGACCGGGACAACCCGAGGAAACUCGGGCUAAUACCGGAUGUGCCCGCAAGGGGAAAGGAAGCUUCGGCCUCCGCAUCAAGAUGGGCCCGCGGCCCAUUAGCUAGUUGGUGAGGUAACGGCUCACCAAGGCUUCGAUGGGUAGCUGGUCUGAGAGGACGAUCAGCCACACUGGGACUGAGACACGGCCCAGACUCCUACGGGAGGCAGCAGUGGGGAAUCUUGCGCAAUGCGCGAAAGCGUGACGCAGCAACGCCGCGUGGGGGAAGAAGGCUUUCGGGUUGUAAACCCCUUUCAGUUGGGACGAAGCUUCUCCGGUGAAUAGCCGGACGGAGUGACGGUACCUUCACAAGAAGCACCGGCUAACUACGUGCCAGCAGCCGCGGU